GCCGCUGUAGCUCAGUUGGUAGAGCGCCCGCCUUGUAAGCGGAAGGUCAGGGGUUCGAUUCCCCUCAGCGGCUCCA
rnacentral:tRNA from 1 species